rnacentral:tRNA from 1 species
GUAUCCCUGGUGUAACGGCAACAUGACGAGCUCCAAACUCGUUCGAUCUGGGUUCAAAUCCUAGGGGAUGCGCCA